rnacentral:lncRNA from 1 species
AACUUGUGAUCCUCCUACUUCAGCCUCCUGAGUAGCUGGGAUUCCAGGCAUGUACCACUGCCCCCAUUGAGGAACAAGGAACAGUAUCUUUAGUAAAUUGGUCCACAGUAUUUGACUUUUAGUUUUUAGAGAAACAAAAAACUAUACUCAUUUUAAGAGUUUAUUGUAUAAAUUGUGACUUUAUGAUGAAUUUAACUGGCUUAAACAGGUGUUUCGGAACAAAUGGAUUUUUUAUAACGUUUUUUAGCUAGAGGCAGCUGUGGUGCACUGACAGUGUUUCUCAGAAUGAUUAUUACUGAUUCUUUUCUCUUGUGCAAGGCAUUAUGUCAUUUUUUUUAAUGCAACUUUUCAAAAACCUAUAAAUUAAUAACAUCCUAAUUUAAAAACUGCUGACUUCAACCAUCUGACCUGUUGUCAGCCUUUUAAUCAUUUAAGUAGGGGUUGGCUGAGAGGGUCUAACAUGUCUGUUA